rnacentral:rRNA from 1 species
AUUGAACGCUGGCGGCAGGCCUAACACAUGCAAGUCGAACGGAGUGGCGGACGGGUGAGUAAUGUCUGGGAAACUGCCUGAUGGAGGGGGAUAACGUCUGGAAACGGGCGCUAAUACCGCAUACUAUCGGAUGUGCCUAGGUGGGAUUAGCUAGUUGGUGGGGUAAAGGCCUACCAAGGCGACGAUCCGUAACUGGUCUGAGAGGAUGAUCAGCCACACUGGAACUGAGACACGGUCCAGACUCCUACGGGAGGCAGCAGUGGGGAAUAUUGGACAAUGGGCGAAAGCCUGAUCCAGCCAUGCCGCGUGUGUGAAGAAGGUCUUCGGGUUGUAAAGCACUUUAAGUUGGGAGGCGUUACCAGCAGAAUAAGCACCGGCUAACUCCGUGCCAGCAGCCGCGGUAAUAC